rnacentral:rRNA from 1 species
GUGGGGAAUAUUGGACAAUGGGCGAAAGCCUGAUCCAGCCAUGCCGCGUGUGUGAAGAAGGUCUUCGGAUUGUAAAGCACUUUAAGUUGGGAGGAAGGGCAGUAAGUUAAUACCUUGCUGUUUUGACGUUACCGACAGAAUAAGCACCGGCUAACUUCGUGCCAGCAGCCGCGGUAAUACGAAGGGUGCAAGCGUUAAUCGGAAUUACUGGGCGUAAAGCGCGCAUAGGUGGUUUUGUAAGUUGGAGGUGAAAUCCCCGGGCUCAACCUGGGAACUGCAUCCAAAACUGCAUGACUAGAGUACGGUAGAGGGUAGUGGAAUUUCCUGUGUAGCGGUGAAAUGCGUAGAUAUAGGAAGGAACACCAGUGGCGAAGGCGACUAUCUGGACUGAUACUGACACUGAGGUGCGAAAGCGUGGGGAGCAAACAGGAUUAGAAACCCUAGUAGUCC